rnacentral:rRNA from 1 species
AUGAAGCUGCUUUACACCAAUGAAGAAGACGAGAAUGAUUCAGCAAUGUGCCCAGAGCCAAAGUUGAAAGGAGAGAUUGAACAAGUCCAUGACCACGACCAAGAACACAAGAAGAAACUGAAAGCUGAAGAUCAGACAAAGAUGCAGCAUAUUGAUGUUAAGAUUGAAAGAAUCAAGGACCGCCUUUUCCAUACCGCAAAGUCCAUUGUUAAUGUUUCAGUACCGGAAACUUUCGCCUUGGACAUACUCCUUAACGGCGUUCAAUCAGGGAGAGGAUUAGUUGUUCCGGCGGGCAAACCAAGAUUUAUAUUGAAGGCCGAAUGCAAGCAAGAUCAGCUUCAAAGGAACAUUGAAGAAACAGCCAAGAAGAUUAAAGAUCAUAUUGAGUCAAGGUCCUCAGCUGUUGGUAUCGAUCAUCAGGAUUAUGUACGGAUCCUGCAGGAGCUGGUGUCUUCGCCAAGAAGAAGAAGAAGAAGAAGAAGAAGAAGAAGAAGAAGAAGAAGAAGAAGAAGAACCCAACAAGGAGGAAGCAACAUAUAA